rnacentral:rRNA from 1 species
UUGAACGCUGGCGGCAGGCCUAACACAUGCAAGUCGAACGGUAACAGGAAGCAGCUUGCUGCUUCGCUGACGAGUGGCGGACGGGUGAGUAAUGUCUGGGAAGCUGCCUGAUGGAGGGGGAUAACUACUGGAAACGGUAGCUAAUACCGCAUAAUGUCGCAAGACCAAAGAGGGGGACCUUCGGGCCUCUUGCCAUCGGAUGUGCCCAGAUGGGAUUAGCUUGUUGGUGGGGUAACGGCUCACCAAGGCGACGAUCCCUAGCUGGUCUGAGAGGAUGACCAGCCACACUGGAACUGAGACACGGUCCAGACUCCUACGGGAGGCAUCAGUGGGGAAUAUUGCACAAUGGGCGCAAGCCUGAUGCAGCCAUGCCGCGUGUAUGAAGAAGGCCUUCGGGUUGUAAAGUACUUUCAGCGGGGAGGAAGGGAGUAAAGUUAAUACCUUUGCUCAUUGACGUUACCCGCAGAAGAAGCACCGGCUAACUCCGUG